rnacentral:rRNA from 1 species
UACGGAGGGGGCUAGCGUUGUUCGGAAUUACUGGGCGUAAGCGCACGUAGGCGGCUUUGUAAGUUAGGGGUGAAAGCCCGGGGCUCAACUCCGGAAUUGCCUUUAAGACUGCAUCGCUAGAAUUGUGGAGAGGUAAGUGGAAUUCCGAGUGUAGAGGUGAAAUUCGUAGAUAUUCGGAAGAACACCAGUGGCGAAGGCGACUUACUGGACACAUAUUGACGCUGAGGUGCGAAAGCGUGGGGAGCAAACAGG